GAUGAACGCUGGCGGCGUGCCUAAUACAUGCAAGUCGAGCGAACAGACGAGGAGCUUGCUCCUCUGACGUUAGCGGCGGACGGGUGAGUAACACGUGGAUAACCUACCUAUAAGACUGGGAUAACUUCGGGAAACCGGAGCUAAUACCGGAUAAUAUAUUGAACCGCAUGGUUCAAUAGUGAAAGACGGUUUUGCUGUCACUUAUAGAUGGAUCCGCGCCGCAUUAGCUAGUUGGUAAGGUAACGGCUUACCAAGGCGACGAUGCGUAGCCGACCUGAGAGAGUGACCGACGAAACUGGAACUGAGCCGCGGUCCAGACUCGUACGGCAGGCAGACGUAGGGAAUCUUACGCAAUGAGCGAAAUCCUAACAGACCAAUACCGAGUGAGAAAUAAAGAUCAUCGGAUCAUAAACCUCUGUGAUUAACGAAAAAAGAAAGCGUCGGUAAAUAUGGACGUCUUGACGGUACCUAAGAAGAAAGCCACGGCUUACUACGUC
rnacentral:rRNA from 1 species